rnacentral:rRNA from 1 species
AUUGAACGCUGGCGGCAGGCCUAACACAUGCAAGUCGGGCGAGUGGCGGACGGGUGAGUAAUGUAUGGGGAUCUGCCUGAUGGAGGGGGAUAACUACUGGAAACGGUAGCUAAUAACGCAUACCAUCAGAUGUACCCAUAUGGGAUUAGCUGGUAGGUGGGGUAACGGCUCACCUAGGCUACGAUCCCUAGCUGGUCUGAGAGGAUGAACAGCCACACCGGAACUGAACCACGGUCCAGACUCCUACGGUAGGAAGCAGUGGGGAAUAUUGCCCAUUGGGGGCAAGCCUGAUGCAGCCAGGCCGCGUGUAUGAAGAAGGUCUUCGGGUUGUAAAGUACUUUCAGUGGGGAGGCGUUACCCGCAGAAGAAGCACCGGCUAACUCCGUGCCAGCAGCCGCGGUAAUAC